GACGAACGCUGGCGGCGUGCUUAACACAUGCAAGUCGAGCGGUAAGGCCCUUUCGGGGGUACACGAGCGGCGAACGGGUGAGUAACACGUGGGUGACCUGCCCUCAGCUCUGGGAUAAGCCUGGGAAACCGGGUCUAAUACCGGAUAUGACUCCAUGACGCAUGUUGUGGGGUGGAAAGCCUUGUGCGGCUGAGGAUGGGCCCGCGGCCUAUCAGCUUGUUGGUGGGGUGAUGGCCUACCAAGGCGACGACGGGUAGCCGGCCUGGGAGGGCGACCGGCCACACUGGGACUGAGACACGGCCCAGACUCCUACGGGAGGCAGCAGUGGGGAAUCUUGCGCAAUGGGCGAAAGCCUGACGCAGCGACGCCGCGUGAGGGAUGAC
rnacentral:rRNA from 1 species